AACGCUGGCGGCAGGCCUAACACAUGCAAGUCGAGCGGUAGAGAGAAGCUUGCUUCUCUUGAGAGCGGCGGACGGGUGAGUAAUGGCCUAGGAAUCUGCCUGGGUAGUGGGGGAUAACGUUCGGAAACGGACGCUAAUACGCAUACGUCCUACGGGAGAAAGCAGGGGACCUUCGGGCCUUGCGCUAGUCAGAUGAGCCUAGGUCGGAUUAGCUAGUUGGUGGGGUAAUGGCUCACCAAGGCGACGAUCCGUAACUGGUCUGAGAGGAUGAUCAGUCACACUGGAACUGAGACACGGUCCAGACUCCUACGGGAGGCAGCAGUGGGGAAUAUUGGACAAUGGGCGAAAGCCUGAUCCAGCCAUGCCGCGUGUGUGAAGAAGGUCUUCGGAUUGUAAAGCACUUUAAGUUGGGAGGAAGGGCCGUUACCUAAUACGUGAUGGUUUUGACGUUACCGACAGAAUAAGCACCGGCUAACUCUGUGCCAGCAGCAGC
rnacentral:rRNA from 1 species